rnacentral:rRNA from 1 species
UACGAAGGGGGCUAGCGUUGCUCGGAAUUACUGGGCGUAAAGGGCGCGUAGGCGGAUGUCUAAGUUGGGGGUGAAAUCCCGGGGCUCAACCUCGGAACCGCCUUCAAUACUGGAUAUCUUGAGUUCGGGAGAGGUGAGUGGAAUGCCGAGUGUAGAGGUGAAAUUCGUAGAUAUUCGGCAGAACACCAGUGGCGAAGGCGACUCACUGGCCCGAUACUGACGCUGAGGCGCGAAAGCGUGGGGAGCAAACAGG